rnacentral:rRNA from 1 species
CAGUAGCCGCGGGAAUACGAAGGGGGCUAGCGUUGCUCGGAAUCACUGGGCGUAAAGGGUGCGUAGGCGGGUCUUUAAGUCAGGGGUGAAAUCCUGGAGCUCAACUCCAGAACUGCCUUUGAUACUGAAGAUCUUGAGUUCGGGAGAGGUGAGUGGAACUGCGAGUGUAGAGGUGAAGUUCGUAGAUAUUCGCAAGAACACCAGUGGCGAAGGCGGCUCACUGGCCCGAUACUGACGCUGAGGCACGAAAGCGUGGGGAGCAAACAGGAUUAGAUACCCCAGUAGUCCCUGUCUCUUAUAA